GACGAACGCUGGCGGCGUGCUUAACACAUGCAAGUCGAGCGGUAAGGCCCUUUCGGGGUACACGAGCGGCGAACGGGUGAGUAACACGUGGGUGACCUGCCCUCAGCUCUGGGAUAAGCCCGGGAAACUGGGUCUAAUACCGGAUAUGACUCCAUGACGCAUGUUGUGGGGUGGAAAGCCUUGUGCGGCUGAGGAUGGGCCCGCGGCCUAUCAGCUUGUUGGUGGGGUGAUGGCCACCAAGGCGACGACGGGUAGCCGGCCUGAGAGGGCGACCGGCCACACUGGGACUGAGAUACGGCCCAGACUCCUACGGGAGGCAGCAGUGGGGAAUCUUGCGCAAUGGGCGAAAGCCUGACGCAGCGACGCCGCGUGAGGGAUGACGGCCU
rnacentral:rRNA from 1 species